rnacentral:rRNA from 1 species
GACGAACGCUGGCGGCGUGCUUAACACAUGCAAGUCGUACGGUAAGGCCCUUUCGGGGGUCCACGAGUGGCGCACGGGUGAGUAACACGUGAGUAACCUGCCCACAACUUUGGGAUAACGCCACGAAACUGGUGCUAAUACUGGAUAUGUGCUCCUGCUGCAUGGUGGGGGUUGGAAAGCUCCUGCGGUUGUGGAUGGACUUGGGGCCUCUCAUCUUGUUGGUGGGGGAGUGGCCUACCAAGGCGGCGACGGGUAGCCGGCCUGAGCGGGGGACCGGCCACAUGGGGACUGAGAUACGGGCCGGACUCCUACGGGAGGCAGGAGUGGGGAAUGUUGCCCAAUGGGCGCCAGCCUGAUGCAGGGACGCCGCGUGCGGGAUUAGGGCCUUCGGGUUGUAAACCGAUUUCAGCAGGGACGAAGAUUUUUGUGACGGUACCUGAAGAAGAAGCACCGGCUAACUACGUG